rnacentral:rRNA from 1 species
AUUGAACGCUGGCGGAAUGCUUUACACAUGCAAGUCGAGCGGCAGCGCGGCCUUCGGGCUGGCGGCGAGCGGCGAACGGGUGAGUAAUGCAUCGGAACAUGCCCAGUCGUGGGGGAUAACACUUCGAAAGAAGUGCUAAUACCGCAUACGUCCUGAGGGGGAAAGCGGGGGAUCGCAAGACCUCGCGCGAUUGGAGUGGCCGAUGUCAGAUUAGCUAGUUGGUGGGGUAAAGGCCUACCAAGGCGACGAUCUGUAGCUGGUCUGAGAGGAUGAUCAGCCACACUGGGACUGAGACACGGCCCAGACUCCUACGGGAGGCAGCAGUGGGGAAUUUUGGACAGUGGGGGCAACCCUGAUCCAGCCAUUCCGCGUGAGUGAAGAAGGCCUUCGGGUUGUAAAGCUCUUUCGGCAGGAACGAAACGGUGGGCUCUAACAUAGUCCGCUAAUGACGGUACCUGAAGAAGAAGCACCGGCUAACUACGUG